rnacentral:rRNA from 1 species
AGCUCCAAUAGCGUAUAUUAAAGUUGUUGCAGUUAAAAAGCUCGUAGUUGGAUUUCUGGUAGGAGCGACCAUACCGGACUUGAUUGUCCGUGUUUUGUGUUGUCUCCAGCCAUCCUCGUGGAGAGCAUUUCUGGCAUUAGUUUGUCGGAUUUGGGACCCGCGUCAUUUACUGUGAAAAAAUUAGAGUGUUUAAAGCAGGCAAUUGGCUUGAAUACAUUAGCAUGGAAUAAUAAGAUAGGACUCAUGUGCUAUUUUGUUGGUUUGUACACUUGGGUAAUGAUUAACAGAAUCAGUCGGGGAUAUUUGUAUGAAAAUGUCAGAGGUGAAAUUCUUGGAUUUUUUUCAGACAAACUACUGCGAAAGCAUUUAUCAAGGAUGUUUUCAUUAAUCAAGAACGAAA